AAUUAUUGCCGAUCCUCCCCUCCAACACUGCUCUCAUCACCUAUAUACUCUUCUCUCUGCCCGUCUCUGCUUCCCCCCCCUUCCCCCCCCCCUUUUCUCCCGGCCGACGGAGCUGAAGGGGCGGGGGUUCCUUCCUUGGAGUGUUUCUAGAGCUCGGAGGCUGCUGGUAGGGGGGCACCACUUUCAGAUAAAAACAUAGACCUGAAUGGCAUCAUCCAGUAUCCAAGGAAACCAUGCUUGCUUGAAGAGUGAGCAGGUGAGCAAAGAGACAAGAUUACAUGUUUAAACCAAGAAAAGAAUCUUGAAAAACAGAUUGGAAGAAUGCGAAAUGUUAUUAGACACAGGCACAGCAUAGCAGUAGAAACAUCUUAACUGAGAACUUGGAACUGAAAGAGAAAGCAACCAACUUAAAGGGCAGACAAGACACAUGGUUAUGUAACACAGCAGUGGGUAUUCACAGUGAUGACACAAGACAAAACAAUUACAUUUUCAUUCUAAAAGUAAUUUUUAAGGAGGCAAGGGCAUUUAUAAAACAUUUUAGAAACUAUUUAAUAAAAAUGGUAAAAUUAAAGUGUUUGUUUAUGUACUCAACAAAUAUUUAUUUGGAAAGUGCAUGCCUGGGGGCACAUCUCGUUAAUGAGGUGAUCCUGUGUUUAGAACUGAAGGCAGUCCUCAUCCAUUCUCUCAAAAGGUGACCUUCUUUGUUCUUCUUAUAGCCUCACCACAUUUAAUUUUCAGAGGUUUUGACAUAAAUUAAAAACAUUCUUUGGUAGAUUGUAUUGUAUGAAAACAAUCUUCAAAAGUGUAAGCAUUGAUAUCUGGAAUAUCUGGGAAAAUGUACAAUAAAGACAUCUCUUCUGGUCUUAAAAAAAAAAAAAAA
rnacentral:lncRNA from 1 species